rnacentral:rRNA from 1 species
AUUGAACGCUGGCGGCAUGCUUUACACAUGCAAGUCGAACGGCAGCGCGGGCUUCGGCCUGGCGGCGAGUGGCGAACGGGUGGGUAAUGCAUCGGAACGUGCCCAGUAGUGGGGGAUAGCCCGGCGAAAGCCGGAUUAAUACCGCAUACGACCUGAGGGUGAAAGCGGGGGACCGAAAGGCCUCGCGCUAUUGGAGCGGCCGAUGUCGGAUUAGCUAGUUGGUGGGGUAAAGGCUUACCAAGGCGACGAUCCGUAGCUGGUCUGAGAGGACGACCAGCCACACUGGGACUGAGACACGGCCCAGACUCCUACGGGAGGCAGCAGUGGGGAAUUUUGGACAAUGGGGGCAACCCUGAUCCAGCCAUGCCGCGUGCGGGAAGAAGGCCUUCGGGUUGUAAACCGCUUUUGUUCGGGAAGAAAUCCUCUGGGCUAAUACCCCGGGGGGAUGACGGUACCGGAAGAAUAAGCACCGGCUAACUACGUG